rnacentral:tRNA from 1 species
AUUUAUAUAGUUUAAUAAAACAUUACAUUUUCAUUGUAAAAUUAAAAUUUAAUUUAUUUUUAUAAAUA